UACGUAGGGCGCAAGCGUUAUCCGGGAUUAUUGGGCGUAAAGAGCUCGUAGGCGGUUUGUCGCGUCUGCCGUGAAAGUCCGGGGCUCAACUCCGGAUCUGCGGUGGGUACGGGCAGACUAGAGUGAUGUAGGGGAGACUGGAAUUCCUGGUGUAGCGGUGAAAUGCGCAGAUAUCAGGAGGAACACCGGUGGCGAAGGCGGGUCUCUGGGCCGAUACUGACGCUGAGGAGCGAAAGCGUGGGGAGCGAACAGG
rnacentral:rRNA from 1 species